rnacentral:lncRNA from 1 species
AGAACCAUCAUGGCAGGACAAACCCCUGCACGGCAUGUACCACCAACAGAUACAAGAAGUGGCUGAUAUCGAAAAGUCCUACCGGUGGCUGGAAAAAGCUGGACUGAAAGACAGCACAGAGGCACUGAUCGUAGCAGCACAAGAACAGGCCCUGAGCACAAGAUCGAUAGAGGCCGGGGUCUACCACACCAGGCAGGACCCCAGGUGCAGGCUGUGCAAAGAUGCCCCUGAGACAAUCCAGCACAUAACAGCAGGUUGUAAGAUGCUAGCGGGCAGAGCGUACAUGGAACGCCAUAACCAAGUGGCCGGCAUAGUGUACAGGAACAUCUGUGCCGAGUAUGGGCUGGAGGUCCCAAGGGCAAAAUGGGACACACCUCCAAAGGUGGUGGAGAAUGACCGAGCUAAGAUCCUGUGGGACUUCCAGAUACAGACCGACAAACAGGUGAUGGUUAACCAACCGGACAUAGUAGUGGUGGACAAACAACAGAAGAAAGCCGUAGUGGUAGAUGUAGCGUUCCCAAGUGACAGCAACAUCAGAAAGAAGGAACAUGAGAAGCUGGAGAAAUACCAAGGCCUUAAAGAAGAGCUAGAAAAGAUGUGGAAGGUGAAGGCAACUGUAGUCCCCGUGGUAAUUGGCACCCUCGGGGCUGUGACCCCCAAACUGGGAGAAUGGCUCCAACAGAUCCCAGGAACAACAUCAGAGAUCUCAGUUCAGAAGAGCGCAGUGCUAGGAACAGCUAAGAUACUGCGAAGAACCCUCAAACUCCCAGGCCUCUGGUAGAGGACCCGAGAUUGAGGAAGACACACACACCACCCAUAGGGGUGAGAAGGGAAUUUUAUAUAUAUAUAUAUAUAUAUAUAUAUAUAUAUAUAUAUAUAUAUAUAUAUAUAUAUAUAUAUAUAUAUAUAUAUAUAUAUAUAUAUAAAUAUGUAUAUAUAUGUUUCCACUUUGUCAUUAUGGUUUAUUGAGUGUAAAAUUUACAGUUUAUCCAUUUAAAAUCAAAUGUACAACACAAAAAAG